rnacentral:rRNA from 1 species
GGGUCAUUAGGUUGGUCGUGCCACCGGUACGUACUGGUCUCACUGAUUCCUCCUUCCUGAGGAACCGUAAUGCCAUUAAUUUGGUGUUGCGGGGAAACAGGACUGUUACUUUGAAAAAAUUAGAGUGUUUAAAGCAAGCUAACGCUUGAAUACAUUAGCAUGGAAUAAUGAAAUAGGACGAUCGAUCCUAUUUUGUUGGCUUCUAGGAUUGACGUA